AGGACGAACGCUGGCGGCGUGCUUAACACAUGCAAGUGGAGCGACGAACCCGGGCUUGCCCUGGGGCAGAGCCGCGAACGGGUGAGUAACACGUGGGUUACCUGCCUCGAUGACCGGGACAACCCGAGGAAACUCGGGCUAAUACCGGAUGUGCCCGCAAGGGGAAAGGAAGCUUCGGCCUCCGCAUCGAGAUGGGCCCGCGGCCCAUUAGCUUGUUGGUGAGGUAACGGCUCACCAAGGCUUCGAUGGGUAGCUGGUCUGAGAGGACGAUCAGCCACACUGGGACUGAGACACGGCCCAGACUCCUACGGGAGGCAGCAGUGGGGAAUCUUGCGCAAUGCGCGAAAGCGUGACGCAGCAACGCCGCGUGGGGGAAGAAGGCUUUCGGGUUGUAAACCCCUUUCAGUUGGGACGAAGCUUCUCCGGUAAAUAGCCGGACGGAGUGACGGUACCUUCACAAGAAGCACCGGCUAACUACGUGCCAGCAGCCGCGGU
rnacentral:rRNA from 1 species